CGCGUAGUUAGCCGGGGCUUCUUACUCAGGUACCGUCAUUUUCUUCCCUGCUGAUAGAGCUUUACGUAACGAAUUACUUCUUCACUCACGCGGCGUCGCUGCAUCAGGGUUUCCCCCAUUGUGCAAUAUUCCCCACUGCUGCCUCCCGUAGGAGUCUGGGCCGUGUCUCAGUCCCAAUGUGGCCGUCCGCCCUCUCAGGCCGGCUACUGAUCGUCGCCUUGGUGGGCCGUUACCCCGCCAACAAGCUAAUCAGACGCGGGUCCAUCUUACACCACCGGAGUUUUUCACACCGCUUCAUGCGAAGCUGUGCGCUUAUGCGGUUUUAGCACCUAUUUCUAAGUGUUAUCCCCCUGUGUAAGGCAGGUUACCCACGCGUUACUCACCCGUCCGCCACUAACCCAUAUAUCACUAGGUUUCAAUAUGGGUCCGUUCGACUUGCAUGUGUUAAGCACGCCGCCAGCGUUUCAUCCUGAGCCAGGAUCAAACUCU
rnacentral:rRNA from 1 species